rnacentral:tRNA from 1 species
GGAAGGUUGGCAGAGAGGUCGAUUGCAGCGGUUUGCUAAACCGCAGGCCAGCGAAAGCUGGCCCAUGGGUUCGAAUCCCAUACUUUCCUCCA